UACGGAGGGAGCUAGCGUUAUUCGGAAUUACUGGGCGUAAAGCGCACGUAGGCGGCUUUGUAAGUUAGAGGUGAAAGCCUGGAGCUCAACUCCAGAAUUGCCUUUAAGACUGCAUCGCUUGAAUCCAGGAGAGGUGAGUGGAAUUCCGAGUGUAGAGGUGAAAUUCGUAGAUAUUCGGAAGAACACCAGUGGCGAAGGCGGCGAUCUGGGAAGAUACUGACGCUGAGGUGCGAAAGCGUGGGGAGCAAACAGG
rnacentral:rRNA from 1 species